AUUGAACGCUAGCGGGAUGCUUUACACAUGCAAGUCGAACGAGUGGCGGACGGGUGAGUAAUGUCUGGGAAACUGCCUGAUGGAGGGGGAUAACUACUGGAAACGGUAGCUAAUACCGCAUACCAUCGGAUGUGCCCAGAUGGGAUUAGCUAGUAGGGGGGGUAAAGGCUCACCUAGGCGACGAUCCCUAGCUGGUUUGAGAGGACGACCAGCCACACUGGGACUGAGACACGGCCCAGACUCCUACGGGAGGCAGCAGUGGGGAAUUUUGGACAAUGGGGGAAACCCUGAUCCAGCCAUCCCGCGUGUAUGAUGAAGGCCUUCGGGUUGUAAAGUACUUUUGGCAGAGAAGCGGUAUCUGCAGAAUAAGCACCGGCUAACUACGUGCCAGCAGCCGCGGUAAUAC
rnacentral:rRNA from 1 species